rnacentral:rRNA from 1 species
CUCGUGUGGCCAAUACAGUUAUUGCGACUUAACUCAAAUUGUCCCAGCUUGCCGAUGCCUUGGAUGGGUUUGAGCCCAGUGAUGGCAUUAACUUCUCUAAAGGAUGCCAGAGAAAGCUAGCAUUGAAAUGCGGCAAACAAAGUCAUUUCAUGACCUGAUAGGGAUGAAGGUUUCUGACAAAUUCUUGCAUAUACGGAACAAAACCUUGGAUGAGUGUGCGGCUGAGUGCAGCCGCAACUGCUCAUGCACGGCUUACGCUUAUGCUAACUUGAGCAUAUCUGGUGCUAUGGCCGACCCAUAUCAAGGUGCUUGGUUUGGUCAGGGAAGCUUAUUGACAUUGGGACGAAAACCACCGGCGAGAACCUGUAC